rnacentral:rRNA from 1 species
AACGAACGCUGGCGGCAGGCCUAACACAUGCAAGUCGAGCGCCCUUUCGGGGGAGCGGCGGACGGGUGAGUAACGCGUGGGAAUAUGCCCUUCUCUACGGAAUAGCCUCGGGAAACUGAGAGUAAUACCGUAUACGCCCUGUGGGGGAAAGAUUUAUCGGGGCAGGAUUAGCCCGCGUUGGAUUAGGUAGUUGGUGGGGUAAUGGCCUACCAAGCCGACGAUCCAUAGCUGGUUUGAGAGGAUGAUCAGCCACACUGGGACUGAGACACGGCCCAGACUCCUACGGGAGGCAGCAGUGGGGAAUCUUAGACAAUGGGGGCAACCCUGAUCUAGCCAUGCCGCGUGAGUGAUGAAGGCCUUAGGGUUGUAAAGCUCUUUCAGCUGGGAAGAUAAUGACGGUACCAGCAGAAGAAGCCCCGGCUAACUCCGUG